rnacentral:misc_RNA from 1 species
GGAAGGAUCAUUGACACAAUCAAUUUUAAUAACCUUUAACACCUUUAUGAAUCUAUUAGUCUUAUUUAGUUUUAAACUACUCAAUAUUUUAUCAAUCUUAAUUAAAUAAUCAGUUCUUUAUUGAAUUUGAUUAAAACAAUAGUUAAUACUAGAUACAACUGUUAACAACGGAUAUCUAGGCUCUUACAACGAUGAAGAACGCAGCAAAAUGCGAUACGUAAUGUGAAUUGCAGAUUUCAGUGAAUCAUCAAAUCUUUGAACGCAACUUGCGCUUAAGGUUAACUACCUUAAGCACACUUGUUUGAGUGUCGGUAAAUAUCAUACUAUUCAUUCUUUGAGUAUCAGCUUUACUUGUUAAAGUCGUUACUUUAAUGAUAUUUUGCUUUGAUUCUAUUAAUCAAUACUACUUUUAUGUAGCAAAAGGACUUGUUCUUAACUCAUACUAGUUAGUGAUUUCGAAUCAAAAUAUUACCUCUUUUUUUUUAUUCGACCUCAAAUCAAGUGAGAUUACCGGCUGAACUUAAGCAUAUCAAUAAGCCGAGGAAAAGAAACUAACAAGGAUACCCUUAGUAACGGCGAGUGAAGCGGGUAGAGCUCAAUCUUAAAAUCUGUGUCUCAUAUGGGACAUCGAAUUGUAGUUUUUGGAUUAUUAUUCCCUCUUCUUACAAGUAAAUCAAAAUCUCUUGGAAUAGAGUGUCAUAGAAGGUGAGAACCCUGUGAAUGGUUUAUUAGUAAGGAGGAAUUUGUGUUUAAUGAUCUUAGAGUCGGGUUGUUUGAGAAUGCAGCCUAAAAUGGGUGGUAAAUCUCAUCUAAAGCUAAAUAUUGGUAAGAGACCGAUAGUAAACAAGUACCGUGAGGGAAAGAUGAAAAGAACUUUGAAAAGAGAGUUAAAAGUACUUGAAAUUGUUAACAGGGAACCGCUUAAAUUCUAAUCUAUUUAUGAGUAUAAAUCAAUCUUAUAGAAGAGGUAAAACUGUUAAAGAGGUAAUUUAGGUUGCCCUUUAAUAGUGUACACUAGAAAUAAGGUGCACUUUAUAUUCAUAAAAAUCAACAUCAAUUUUGAAUCUAUUAGAAAUACUAGAAGAAGGUAGUAUUUAUACUUUCGGGUAUAAAUAUGUUAUAGACUCUAGUAGAAUAGUAGAUAAGAGAUUGAGGAAUAAACAUACUCCUCUAUGGAUUGUGAAUUGAGGUUAUUAGUAUAUAUAAUAGUUUGAACUGUAACAGUGCUGAUUAUUAAAUGUAUUAAAGAGCUUCAUAACAAAAAGUAUGUUAGAGAUGUUGAUCUGUACAGAAGAAGGAUUUAAUCGACCCGUCUUGAAACACGGACCAAGGAGUCUAACAUGUAUGCGAGUAAAUAAAGUGAUAAAACUUUUCAUGCAAAAUGAAAGUAAAAUUAUGGUAGGAUUAUUCACUCAGGUGAGUAUGCACUAUCAACCGACUUGGAUAAGGGUUAAACCUUUGAAAGGAUUGAGUAAGAGCAUUUAUGUUAGGACCCGAAAGAUGGUGAACUAUGCCUGAAUAGGGCAAAGCCAGAGGAAACUCUGGUGGAGGCUCGAAGGGGUUCUGACGUGCAAAUCGAUCUUCAAAUUUGGGUAUAGGGGCGAAAGACUAAUCGAACCAUCUAGUAGCUGGUUCCCUC